UUAAAGGAGUUUUUUGUUAUUUUCUGAGGGUUUUGUUUAUUUUUUAGUUUUGCAUUUUAAAGAGAGAAAUUAUUUUAUUAAAACAGAUUCAUUUUUUUAAUUUAACCUCUCUUUUUCUUUUUAGUUAAAAUAAAAUAAUCAAAGUUGGGUGACUUUUGAAAUAAUGUUGAAAAUGCUAAGAGUUUUUUUAUUAGUUUAUUAGAAGUUGAGAUUGAGACUUUUCUGGUUGUUUUAAUCAGAGUGAAAAUUUUUUUAUUAUUAUUUUUUUUUAAGAUGUUUAUAUUUUAAAUAUUUCUUUUUUAAUUAGGUUUUUUUUCAGUUGUUUUUUAGAGUCCUCGGGAUUCUUUUUUAUGAUUUUUUUCUACUGCCUAGUGAUUUUUAAACGGCACCUUUAGCGUGAUUGGUCGAAGGUAGCAAGCUAAGUUGUUUUUUUAUUGGAUUCGGGGAUGAAUGUUUUUUUUGGAAAUUUUUUUUCUUAUUUUAUUUGCAACUUGUUACGAAUUUAAAAAUUAAUUCUUGAAGUAAGACUAAGAUAAGUCUUUAGAAAUUUUUUUGUUUAAUUUUUUUUGGGGUAAAAUUUUAGUCAAUUUUAAAAACUUUAAUAUUUUGAAAAAUUUCUCUAGAGUUAACAGGAUCUUUUUACAUCGAUGUUGUCUUUAAUUUAAAUUUUUAGAGAGAUUUAAGAAUUUGAAAAAGACUGUUCUUCUUUUUUUAUUAACGUGAGAUUAGUUUAGUUCGACGUGAGUUAGAAUUGUUUAUCUAGCUUAUUUUUUUUUAAGAAAAUUUGUACGAGAGGAUCGUUUUUUAUAUUUAAUUU
rnacentral:rRNA from 1 species